AUUAUAGAGUGUACCACUAGAACGCCUAGCGUGGCUAGGCACUUCGGGCAGACUUAGUUUAAUUAUUUUAAAAUAUUACAAAUUAUGAGGUAAGUUGGUAUUAUGGCUAAGUGACUAAAUACUAGUUUGUGAGUUUAGCAAUGUGAAUGCUUUUGUUUUGGCACAGUACAUAGUUUCAGUAUUGGAGUAUCAUAGGAUUCAUUAUUUUAAGAUUGAGAUUAAUAUUUCUGUUUAUGGUCAAAUGGGUGAGUGAGUGUAAGUGUGGACCACCAGGUGGUAUUCGUGUAGUUAGUUGAUGGGGUUUAUCAGGGAGAUAAGAUGUUUUCUAAUGGUAGUUUUGAAGGUGAUGAAUGUGUCUGCAGUUCUAGAGUUCUCAGGUAGGGUGUUCCAGAUUUUGGGGCCUUUGACAUACAUUGAAUUUUUGUAAAGGUUUAGUCGGACAUGGGGAAUGUCGUAGAGAUGUUUGUGUCUGGUGUUAUGCCUGUGGGUUCUGUCACAACUAUCAAGAAAGCAUUUUAGGUCAAGGUUGAUAUUGGAGUUUAAGGUCCUGUAGAUGUAGAUUGCACAGUAGUAAGUGUGGAUGUACUGAACAGGGAGUAAGUUUAGAUCUAUGAAGAGUGGGGGGUGUGCUGCCAGGGAUGGGAUUUAGUGAUUAUUCUUACUGCAGCUUUUUGUUGGGUUAUUAUUGGCUUUAGGUGUGUUGCUGCAGUUGAUCCCCAAGCACAAAUAGCAUAGGUGAGGUAUGGAUAAAUAAGUGAGUGGUAUAGUGUGAGAAGGGCAUUUUGCGGCACGUAGUAUCGUAUCUUGGAGAGGAUCCCAACUGUUUUGGAUACUUUUUUGGUUAUGUGUUGGAUAUGGGUGCUGAAAUUCAGGUUGUUGUCAAGGUAUAGGCCUAGGAAUUUGCCCUCGUUAUGUCUGGUAAUUAGAGUGUUGUCGAUCUUAAUGUUAAUUUGUGCAUCUCCUGCUCUGCUACCAAACAUAAUAUAGUAGGUUUUGUCAGUGUUAAGCGUAAGUUUAUUGGCUGUCAUCCAAGUCGAUAUUUUGAGCAGCUCCUCGUUAACAAUGGUGUUGAGGGUGGCAAGAUUAGGGUGAGAGAUGACAUAAGUCGUGUCGUCAGCAAAGAGAAUGGGUUUCAGGUGUUGGGAUAUGUUUGGAAGAUCAUUGAUGUAUAUGAGGAAGAGCAGUAAAACAAAGUUUUAUAAUAAAAACUAAAUUGAUGAAUACUAUUGGAAGGUCUAGGAAUUAUAAAAAAAUCAUUAGAAAUGUAAAAAUAUCUUCAUAGAUGCAUGCUGCAGAGGCUAUAAAGAAUAUAUUUGCAGGUCCAUGUAGCACUGCAGACUGCCUAAAGCCUUUGCUGUGGCUGUCACCAAAAAAGUAACAUAUAAUGCAUGUUCAACCAACUUUAAUAAACUGAUUUACAAAUGUGGCUUAUUAUAAAACACUAUACCUAUAAUCGUUAAGUUGGGAGUAGAAAACAGGGCUAUCUUAGCAAGGAAGAAAAAAUGCAGCUAGUAUCAAGGCAGCUAAAGAUUACCUCACCUUUCUUCUUACAGAGAAUUCCAAUGCAUUAAACCUAUUUUCCUGUUAUUUAGUAGUUUAACUAGACAGCAUGGAUGAUUAAAGCCAGAAAAACUUUGUAGUCAGUGUUAUCAUCAUUCUUGAUAAUUGCUGUAGUUAUCCUUAAAUCUUUGCAGUCUGUGAACCCAAAUGUGACGUUUUUGAUAAAGUAUGUGCCCCUACACAUGCAAGGUAAAGGAAAAACUCAUCAUAUUAAUGGAUGACAGUUUCUAGACCUGCAUGCCAGACUUCUGGUGUAAAUAUAACAUUGCAGAUGAUCUUACCCAAGUGUCACAGAAUGAAGUGCCCAGUCAGUCAUAAAUGUAGGCUGGAGUCAGUUAUGAUCUGGUGAGUAAUUUCUCUUGUGCACCUUCAGUAAGGAGUUAGGAUUAAAAUAUUGUGGCUCUUACAGAAAUUAGAAAUAUCAAUGAACAAACAUAAAUGAAAUGUUAGAAGAGGAUAACGAGAAACCAACUACAGAAGAAAUGUUAGAGGAGCUCAGUUCCCAGUUAAGAGACAGAGAUAAAUGAAGAGGAUGAGAAAGAACAAUUAUAAACAGUUAACCCUUAAGAAGCUUCUUGUGUAAGUCCACAUUAUUGGUAAAAUUGAAGAAUUUUUCACCUUCCGAAUAGGCUCCUGUGAAAUCUUGAAGCAUUGGUCUGAAGAUUUUGGUGCAAGAAAUGAUGCCUUAAUAUUAAGUCAACUGUAUAAAGUACUUCAGGGUAAAACAAGCUAGAGGUGCAUUACAGAAUAUAUGACCACUCCAAUACAUCCAUCAUCGACUGACAACACUGCAUCCACAGCAACACAACAACCAUAGCCAUUCACCUCAGACCAGGGCUACAACAACCCUCUCCACACACUUCUGUGUCAACAAGCAAUGACAACUAGACUGUGAGCACUAAAGUCAUCCAGAAAUUUGCUGAGCAGAAGAAUAGAAGGGCAGUUUCUCUACAAAUAAGGUACACCAGAAUGUUUUUUGUUUGCUCUGGAGCCUCAGACAGGAAUCUUUCACAGCACAGGAUAUAACAGCAACUUCAUGUACUUGAAUUACUUGGAGAAAAAUACUAUGCCUAAUGGACUGGGCAUGGGAGGUCGAGAGGAAUUAUUUGGGUUAUGGCUGGACUAUGACUUUGGUAAAGGUUCAGUGGCACCCUCGUGUACUACAUUUCGGAGCCCACCACUAUCCCCUCACCAGCAGUUGGAAGUGCGAGGAAUAGAGGUCUGGGCCCUAGGACCUGAAGAGGAAGACUCGGAUGAAGAGGAGGGAACUCGAAAGAAGAAAAGUGCAUUAGAUUCGAAUCCUGAAGCUCGUGCUCUGUUGGAUAUAAUGGGCAAAACCAGAGCUAGUGAUGGCUACAGGGAAAAAUCAGAAGAUGCAACAGAUUAAAGUUUUAUGUGAAAAGAUAAUAUGUUUAUAAAUAGAAGGUUCAACCAUCACUUUUACGGCUCACAUAGUGGGUCAAGACCCAAGAUUGUUUCCUCGUACCUGUGCGCCAACAACAGAGCCUAGCUAUGUGGGUUCCUCGAGUUUAGGUGCAAAUUCUUCGAGACAUCGACGUGUGGAGUAGUGGACAGCGGCGCCAGAGACAAACAACAACCUUCCCCACCACCUCCCUCAUUUCUACACUGACAUCGCUCCAGUGAUACUAAUCUUUUUUAUAGACAUUUGUGAGUGUUGAGACAUUUUUUCAGUUUACAGUGAUUCAUUAGUGACAUUCAGUGACUUGAUCAGACUCAGUGUUCAUUACAUUCUGUUUGCAAUAAUUUUUAAGACCAGUGUUUCUCAUGUUUAAUUUUUGUGCUUUAUAUUUAUAUCUAUGUUGCAUUGUGUUCCUUUUUUUUUAUACUUGAAGUAAGUACUUUUCCAUUUUUCCCUGUUGUGUGCAAUAUAUAAGCAGUAUAAACUUGUGUUUACACUUCACAGUUAUCUUGUGUUCAUAGUAAUGUGUUCCUUGCCUAGUAAUUCAUUCGGUGAAGUAUUUCAGUAACUUGUUUACCUUAUGUUCUGCACCACAACUCAGUGUUGUGUCUCAUUUAUUUUUUUCCCAGCAUUUUCUUGUGUUCUUGGUGAUUUUGUGUUAAUUCAUUUCCCAUUUUUGUGUGUGUUGACCAUUCUUUUGUGUUCCUUAUUGUUAAUUUCACCAGUGUCUAAUUUGUUCCAUCUCUACAGACAAUAGUGACAUUUGUUACCAAUUUUUGUCAACACAAGACCUUAUUGCAAGAAAAUUAUCAUAGUAUUGUGCAUAUUGAUGUUUGUGUUUCUGCACUAUUGUGCAGGAACACAAACAAUAUUUCAUUGAACAAAUUCACUCUUAGUGAAAUUUUUAACUUCUUUUUUAAAAGUAAAGCAUUCUUUUGCUUUGUUUCAGUAAGUGUUUGCCUAAAUUGCAGUUAAGAGUUAAAGUGUUCAAUCAGUUCAUUCUUGAUAAUAUUUUUUUAUUGUUCUUGUAAACUGCAUUUUCUUGUGUGUAAUAUUUUAUUAUUGCAGUAUUGACUCAUUUUUUUUUUUUUUUUUUUUUAUAUCUUUAUUUACUACAAGUACAUGUACAAGGUAUACAGUCCUAGCUGACAACAAUGACAUACUACUAUAUAGAAACUCCCUUGUUAUGCUCUGCAUUUCGGGCAAAUUAGGUCAGUGUCCCGGGAUGCGACCCACACCAGUCGACUAACACCCAGGUACCCAUUUUUACUGAUGGGGAACAUAGACAACAGGUGGAAAGAAACACGUCCAAUGUUUCUACUCUGGCUGGGAAUCGAACCCAGGCCCUCGCCGUGUGAAGCGAGAGCGUUAGCCACCAGGCUACCAUUAAUUUUUUUCUUUCAGAAAUUUUUUCUAUGUAGUGUUGUGCAGCAAUUUUUGAUUAAUGGUUAUUAGUUGAAAUAUUGGUACAGUUUAUUUCAGUGCAAUAUCCUGUGAUUCCAGUUUCACAUUUACUUGUGUUCUGUGCAUAAUAUUUUAUUCUUUGUGUUUCACUUUUUUUUUUUUUUCUUUUUUGAGAAUUGCUUUCCCAGUCUAUUUUAAUUUUGCACAAGAUUUAUUGAUUCUAUUUUAUUAUUUUGAUUGAUUUAUCAUUUAUUGUUGAAUUUCUUUAUUCAAUUGAGAGUAAAGACAACUCACUGUGCCACUAAUUCAACUUAAAGUAAAUUUGAGUAAAAUUGAUCUGAGUAAAGUACAAUUUCUCUUGAUUAUCAAAGUGUUGCCUUAUCCAGUUGAGUGUUUUUUUCUGUGAGUUUUCCUUGCUCUAUAGUGUGACUUGUCAUUUUUCUUUACUUAUGCAGAAUGGUUAAUUAUUUUCUCCCAUUUAAGCUUUAUUGUGUCGUACAUUCACUUUAUUAUUCUUGCUUUUAUGAUCUUGAGUAAGUUCCCUGAGAUGUCUCAACCACUUUUGUUUGCUCACUUAGUGCAUCAUGCCAGUCAAAGUAAAUAUGAAUCAGUCCACAGUCCUAAUAUUCCCUUAUUGGCUGAAAGACAAUACCUAGCUAGACAAUAUGUUUGCUCUCAUAGCUUGUGUCUGAGACUUGUUACAGUACUGCAGAAUGUGAAGUUCAGAUUACGUUCUUAUAGAUCCAUAAAUUACUUAUUAACAUAGCCGAGUGGUCAGGCACUAGUAAAACUGUCACUCCUGUCUGGAAUCCAGCCACAAUAUCUUGCACACAGGAUAGUGUACAGUUACCUUGGGUUUGUGAGGAACCUCAGACAACCCUGGGUGCUUAGGCUACUAUCCCUGUGAUGUCGACUUGUUCAAGUAGUCGUUCUUCCCAGGGGAUGCCUUGCGAAGAAAGAUUACUUGCAGUAAGUUAUGUCAUCUCUUGCUGAUGCCACAAGCCAUUGCAGAAAGAUGUUUCUGUGGCUAGUGUGCUCACUAGAGUGUUGUUGUUGUCCCUUGUAUUCCAGAUGGUGAUACUAUCCUAGUUGACAGUAAUCCUUGCAAUGUAAAAAGUUGUUCUCGAAUAAUCUUCACAUGUUGUUAACGAUUGUAAGAGAUAGUAGAUCCAUUCUUCCUUGUUCAUAUUUUGUGUUAUAGUGUUGCCCAUUUCAACCUGAAUGUCGUUAUUCCCUGCGUACGUGACAAGUACUGAGAAAUUCCCAAGUAUCUUUUGUAGAUACUCAUUCAGAUCUCCCUCAAUCAAGGCAUGCGUUCGCCAUUGCAAAAGACUUCGAUCCUCCCAGAGAUGAUAACCAUUCUGCAUGUGUAAAUCUUACCCUCGCAGAGUUGGGUUUAAAUGUACAUAGCCUGUAUAAUUAGAUGAUCAAGUUGAAGAAAGUUGUCAGCUGUGUGUUUUGUUAUUAGCUGAUCAGUUUUCAAUUUUUUUUUUUUUUUUCACCUUCCUUCCGAAUUCUGAGAUUUAGCAGUAAUGACCUGUGCACGCCAAGUCUGCCUUUGCUGUUAAUUACUUUCCCCUUUGUAAAUAUAUAUUCUUCCUCAGAAUCCGUAGAGUGCUUGAAUACAGAUCAAUCGAUCAAUUCUAUCUUUUAUUAUACAGUGGACCCCCGACAUUCGAUGGCAUCGACAUUCGAUAAAUCCGACAUUCGAUGCAUUUUAACGCAAAAAUUUUGCCUCGACAUUCGAUGGGAAACCCGACAUUCAAUACGAUUCGUACGAGACGUGUCCACGUGUGGCCUGAACUGCCCCGUGUGUCCCAGUGUGUGCGCAUCUAAGGAUACAAUUGGUACAUUCCAUAUUAUCCAUAUUAUCACUGUUUUUGGUGUGUUUCUGCAAAAUAAGUAACCAUGGGCCCCAAGAAAGCUUCUAGUGCCAACCCUUCGAGAAAAAAGGUGCUAAUGACUAUUGAAAUGAAGAAAGAGGUAAUUGCAAAGUAUGAAAGUGGAGUGUGUGUGUCAGAGUGCAUGAUGAUUUGGUAAAGUCCUAAUGGAAGGGGAUUCCCCUUCUAAACACUAACACCAUCCACACACUCCCCUCCUCCCACCCCAUCAAUCAUCACCAGAUCUUCAUUAAAGGUAAGUGUCAAUUAUUCUAUUGUUAUUAAUCUAUUGUUAUUGUUGUUAUUGUAAUUAUUCUAUUGCAUUAAACUUAACAUUUCAUGUGGUAAAAAUUUUUUUUUUCAUACUUUUGGGUGUUUUGCACGGAUUAAUUUGAUUUCUAUUAUUUCUUAUGGGGAAAAUUAAUUCGACUUUCUAUAUUUUCGACAUUCGAUGGCUCUCAGGAACGGAUUAAUAUCAAAUGUCGGGGGUCCACUGUACUAUGAUUUGCUGUUGUAUAGAAUCAGCCCAGAGCCACCUGCCUGUAGAGUAUGGUAUGUCGAGACGCCAUACGUAACAUGACCGAGCUGUCAGCAUAGUUGCUGAUCCCCUGUAUAUGUUGUGUAGCAUAGUACCAUCCAUAUGUAUUUUAUAGAUGACUUCUUGCUAGACUUAGCAGCUAACAUGUGACGUCACACAGUGCUGCUUGUGGGCGGGAGUCACCCUGUCCCUCUCUCAGUUCACGGAUAGACCUACAGGCAACAGGCUAGGCUAGGCCUUCCCCUCACAACUCUGCUAAUAUAAGUGUAUAUAACCCAACAAGUGUGUUUAUCUCCAACCAUCAUAUCUCCAUGGAACCCUCCCAACAAUUUUGGUAAAUUUCACACAAAUUUCAAAAGAUGUCAAUUUCAAAAUAGGGUUCAGAAUAAACAGUGCAGACAUUCCUGGCACUAAAAUAACAUUUUCUCUGUUCAUUAGUCAUGUCUCCAGGCCCUCUUAUACAUUAUGCUUGCUUUCCAUUUUGAAUUUUUUACUUGAACAAAAAACAGAUUUACUGUUAUACAGACUACUGCAUUAUUGUAAUAAAUGUAUAAAUAAUGUAACCCAUUCUUGACUGCAUAUUAGACUGGCCAGUUGGACAUGUAUUGGACAGUAAUGUCGUUUGUUUACUCUUGAACAUCGGCAAAAAUUGAACGUUUCUGUUAUUUUGAGCUCAAUUUCAAGGUACUUUCCUUCGUGAAGCCAAUCAAAAUCAUAUCUGUUUCUGUAAUAUAUCUUCCAUUCUAUCAAAUCAGACCAAAAAAACGAGACUACACCAUAAAAACAUACAAAAAUACACUGCAAAGAUGCUGUUUUACAUGAAAAACAUGGUCACAAUUUUUUUCUCAUUGUGUACUGUAUGCUGCAGAUGUCUUCUCUCAUAUGUAGGCCCAAAUUUACUGGUCACAAUGAGCUGAGCUCAUGGUGACCAACAGUGGCUUCAGAGCCACCUUAUCUUUUAUGGACAAUGUAUGGUGUAUGUGCUUUACACAACGAGAUGCAUUUAUUUAUUUGUUGGAACCAUGGCUAGGUCUAAAAGUGAGCAGGUUAUAACAAUAAAUAGAGAAAAAGAAAUUGGAAUGGCUCAUGCAGCAAGUAGCAGCAGGUUGGUGUGGUGGCCCCAGACAUUUGAAAUUAUACUAGCUGAAAUUAGUGCCAGAUUACUGAUGGAACCAGAUUAUCAGUUACCGUAUUAGUGAUGGCUGACCUGUACUGAAUGACCCACACUAAUUUAACAGAUCCACAAUGAAAAAAAUAUGGGUUAGUUUGCUUGCUCAGCAAGAUGUUAUUUUUUUUAUAUUCUCAUGAAACUUAAGAAAUGGUUUUUGAUAAAUAUAUACAAUGUAAAAAAAAAAAAACCUGCUUUCUCUUACCUCUCUGUCUGAAGUGAAUGUUUAUGCCCUUCCUACAUACCUUUGAUAUACCUUUGAAGAGUUUCGAGAGUUUAUCUACUCUCUGAGCCCGGCCAUGGGCCAGGCUCGUCUGCAUGAUUUACAAGAGUAAUGAGGUGUAUAGUACUAAGGUCGGAUUAAUAUUAAUAUUGCAUGAGCAGAAAUUAAACUUUUAUUUUUGCAUUACAUUUUAAUUAACAGGAACUGCCAGGUUAAAAUCACAUUGUAAAAAUAAUAGGAUAAUUUGUAGCUUACAUGGUUGUACAUAAAAAUAUAUAUUUUCAGAGUAAAUGAUGUUUUAUUUUAUUUUAUUAUCACACCGGCCGAUUCCCACCAAGGCAGGGUGGCCCGAAAAAGAAAAACUUUCACCAUCAUUCACUCCAUCACUGUCUUGCCAGAAGGGUGCUUUACACUACAGUUUUUAAACUGCAACAUUAACACCCCUCCUUCAGAGUGCAGGCACUGUACUUCCCAUCUCCAGGACUCAAGUCCGGCCUGCCGGUUUCCCUGAAUCCCUUCAUAAAUGUUACUUUGCUCACACUCCAACAGCACGUCAAGUAUUAAAAACCAUUUGUCUCCAUUCACUCCUAUCAAACACGCUCACGCAUGCCUGCUGGAAGUCCAAGCCCCUCGCACACAAAAACCUCCUUUACCCCCUCCCUCCAACCCUUCCUAGGCCGACCCCUACCCCGCCUUCCUUCCACUACAGACUGAUACACUCUUGAAGUCAUUCUGUUUCGCUCCAUUCUCUCUACAUGUCCGAACCACCUCAACAACCCUUCCUCAGCCCUCUGGACAACAGUUUUGGUAAUCCCGCACCUCCUCCUAACUUCCAAACUACGAAUUCUCUGCAUUAUAUUCACACCACACAUUGCCCUCAGACAUGACAUCUCCACUGCCUCCAGCCUUCUCCUCGCUGCAACAUUCAUCACCCACGCUUCACACCCAUAUAAGAGCGUUG